rnacentral:rRNA from 1 species
UACGUAGGGGGCAAGCGUUAUCCGGAAUUACUGGGUGUAAAGGGAGCGUAGGCGGCAUGGUAAGCCAGAUGUGAAAGCCCGGGGCUUAACUCCGAGGAUUGCAUUUGGAACUAUCAAGCUAGAGUACAGGAGAGGAAAGCGGAAUUCCUAGUGUAGCGGUGAAAUGCGUAGAUAUUAGGAAGAACACCAGUGGCGAAGGCGGCUUUCUGGACUGAAACUGACGCUGAGGCUCGAAAGCGUGGGGAGCAAACAGG